rnacentral:rRNA from 1 species
GAUGAACGCUGGCGGCGUGCCUAAUACAUGCAAGUCGAGCGAACGGACGAGAAGCUUGCUUCUCUGAUGUUAGCGGCGGACGGGUGAGUAACACGUGGAUAACCUACCUAUAAGACUGGGAUAACUUCGGGAAACCGGAGCUAAUACCGGAUAAUAUUUUGAACCACUUGGUUCAAAAGUGAAAGACGGUCUUGCUGUCACUUAUAGAUGGAUCCGCGCUGCAUUAGCUAGUUGGUAAGGUAACGGCUUACCAAGGCAACGAUGCAUAGCCGACCUGAGAGGGUGAUCGGCCACACUGGAACUGAGACACGGUCCAGACUCCUACGGGAGGCAGCAGUAGGGAAUCUUCCGCAAUGGGCGAAAGCCUGACGGAGCAACGCCGCGUGAGUGAUGAAGGUCUUCGGAUCGUAAAACUCUGUUAUUAGGGAAGAACAUAUGUGUAAGUAACUGUGCACAUCUUGACGGUACCUAAUCAGAAAGCCACGGCUAACUACGUG